rnacentral:tRNA from 1 species
UUGGUUGAAGCCAAAGGGAGGCGCCUCAAUGUUAAUGAGAGAAAUGAUUUUUAUAUGAUCCAACUAAA